AUUGUGUAUAUAUAGGAGAGUUAUUCAGAGAGUUAGUCAGAGUUGGAAGAAGAAGAAAAAGAAGAGUGCAGUUCAGUUUUAGAAGUCAGCAGUGAGAGUUCAGUUUGGAAAUCAGCAGUGUGCAAUUCAGAGCUGAGAAUCAGAACGAAGACAAGCAGUGCAGCCAAUAAACUACAAGUUGGAGAAUCACAGGAACUGAGUCCAGCUGAAGAUUUGCUAGCACAGACAGAGAGAUGGCUGACAGGAUGUGCAACAUACUGGCCGGGGGUGAAACUAUAACAGGGUAAAUGGGUUGAAAGAACCAAAGCCCUUCUGUGUCCAGGAGCUGCUGAGGUAAUUUCAACCAAUGCCCUGCUCCACCAAGAUACCCUCCAUACAUUCUGCCACAUCCACAACAUUCAAGCAUGAGAGAACAAAACUCCACAGUUAGCAUUGACGAGCAUCACAUCAAUAGGAUAUGUUUGUCCGUGCACAUUCUGUCUACUAAACGAGAAGGAACACCAUUUAUUCGUCAUUACUCACCAAAGCCAGGAAAACGACCAACCUUGCCAGUUCAAUAGCUCGGCCAUUCACAGCUUUACUGGCCAUAAAAGUGAAACAGAUAUUGUUUCCACACAAAAUAAGGAGCCGUGCACUGUUUUCCAGAAGCCAUUCCCGGGGAACCACUAUAACAAAAUAUGAAAAUAUGUUUAUUUUAAUUUAUAUUUAUGUUGUUUCAUUUAGUUUUGAAUUUUAAUUUGCUGCCUUUGCAAGUAUUCACAAUAUAACACCAAUAAAUAUAUCUGGUCAGCAAGUAAUAAAAACACAAGCAAUGAGUGACA